GCGCAGGCGCCGCCCAAGCCCCCGCCCUGGGGCGUGUCUCCGAGUCCACGCGGGGCCGGCCGCCCGAACACGCCUGCGAGGGGCGGGGCGAGCUGGCCGCGUCGCGCGGUCACGUGACGCCCCGCGCCGCUGGUUCCCGCCCGGCGGCCUCGCCCUCUUCCCGCGGACCCGUGAGCUCCCGCCACGCGGAUGUGCGCGCCCAACGCAAAGUUACUCGUGUUUCCCGCACUGAGCUGAAACGGCAGAGCCCCGACAGUUUUCGCGGCUUCCGUCGGAUUGCAUCGCUUAUGUUCAUUGAGUGUAAGCGACUCAACACAGAGUUGAUCCUUUGGUGUGAACGGUGAAGGAGCAGAGGGAGAGGGAGACACAAUCCAAAGCAGGAUCCAGACCUUGAGCUGUCAGCACAGAGCCUGAUGAAGGGCUAGAACCCACGAACCACAAGAUCGUGACCUGAGCUGAAGUGGGAAGCGCAACUGACUGAACCUCCCAGGCGCCCCUGAGAUUUUAUUUUUAAGUGAUCUCUACCCCCAAGGUGGGGUUCAAACUCAGGACCUCCAGACCAAGAGUCCCAUGCUCCCCCCUCUGAAGGCACUUUCCAUUUUAGAGAGGAAGGUCCUGGGCUUGGUUGAAUGCCCGGCAGUCUUGGCCUUAGAAGUUUUAAUCGUUUGCCAACAAGGGAACCAAGUUUCCUUUUGCGCUGGGUCCUGCAGACUAUGUAGUGGGUUCUGGGUGUAAUUAAGGGUUUGGGGAUGUGCUAAGCAGAGCAGGCCUUCAUUCAGCCAUCUUCCGCCUCCAGAAAAUUUGCAAUAAAUACUAACAUCUCCUCCUUGGUGCAGUCUGCCACUGUUCAGCCGCAAAUAAGUGUGGCACGCCGGGAAGUUGUGUGAACUCAUAGAUGUUUGCCCCAUGUCAUCUGAACCAAUGAGCCAGGGAAGAAACCAGUUACCAUAUCACCCAGCAAUGCCACUCCCAGGUUGCUGAACCAAGAGAAAUGAAACCUGUGCACACAGGCAUCUGUACACGCAUGGCUGUUGGUAGCAACUUUAUUCACAACAGCCACGAGGGGAAACUACGUGCGUGUUCAUCAAGUGAUGAUAGGUAGAUACGGUCUAUCCGUCCGGUAGAAUAUUACUGAGCCACAUAAAGGAAUGCAGCCUUUUGAAGAAGAGAGAGCCAAGAGUUCUCUGUCUCCUCCUCCAGCCGCCACGGGAGGGCACAAGGAGGUGCCAUCUGCAACCCUGGAAGAGGGCUUUCACUAGAACCUGACCACACCAGCUCCCUGUUCUUGGGCCGCCAGCCUCCAGAACUCUGUCCGCGAUUCUACCUCCUCAAUGAAUCUCCAACCACCCUCCCUUUUCUCCAACCACCGUCACCACCUGCCAGGAUUAAAGCUGCAGCUCCA